ensembl:lncRNA
UGAGGGGUCUACCGGAAGGGGCGAGCUCACAAGCUCUAUAGAGCGCCGGCAGUGAGACGAGCCUCCUGAUUGGACACCGGGCGGCGGCGACCUCAUUGAUUUGUUGUGCAGAGGGCCUCAUGGCCACGGAGCACCAGCCUCUGGACGCCCUGAAGACCUCCGCACUCAACCACAUCCCUACAGGAUGUUUGAAUCUACGACGGCCAGCUUUGGCCAGAACUGUGGAUGGUUUGGAUACGCCGUGGCCAGCCGUGACCACCGCCAUGGACGAUUGUGAAGAUCCAUUCAUAACAGAUAAGACAACAAAUAGA